ACCCAAUAGACCCACCAUUUCCAACAAGAACCCACUUACACCACCACCUAUUGAAGAAGAAGAGGAAAAUAAUUGGCUUGAUUCAGAUAAGGAAAGCGCUCGAAGGGCUCGCCGGAGAAGGCCAGAAAUUCCUAUCGUUCCAUUCUUUUUUGUUGCAUUUUCUUUGGAGUCCUUAUGGACUUUAAUAGAAUCCACAGCAAAGAAAGAAGCAUUUUGAUCUCUUACUGCAUAACAUGGAUUAAUCUCCCACUGUGCAAGAAUCAACAGAAGAAAACAGAAGAAGCAACCCAAUUCUCUGCCCAUAUGUUUACAUUUCGUGUGAAAAUCCCAAGUUGGCAUGGGAUUCCGAUCCAAAAAAGCUUCUCUACUUUUACUUAUUUCUUCAGCCGAAAAAAUUGAUUUCUUGAUGUGGGUUGAAAAUCAGAGAGGAAUUCUCAUAAGUAUGUAGAACUUUUUGUUGAGGUAGAUACCUUGCAGUUUGAAGAAGAUAACAGCAAGGUCAAUGGUGGGGAUGGGGUGGGUGCUAUGGGGUGAAAGGUAAUUUUGUCUUUACCUUCCUUAACAAAACUUUGCAGUACUCCAUGUCUGAAAUCUAGAUUUCAAACCCUACAUUUCCUUCUCAAGAUCUGUGGAAGUAGUGGGGGU
rnacentral:lncRNA from 1 species